GCAGUGGAAGUGCAGUGCAAAAAUAAAACAAGGUUUAGAUACAUUAUUUAUCCGUAGGAUAUGUGCGCAUUAUAACAGACCAAUUAAAUAACACCUGUAAUCACUGUCACACCUGUUCACACCUGCUGAUUACGGGGUCACCUGUGGACUAACAGUAUACUGCAUUACAACCAGGGAGGAAUGGCCACCUUAGCAACAGCUACUGCUAGCUAGCUCCGGUUCCCACAGCAUGUGUGACGAAACGAGAAACUCUGCAGCUGAGGCCACUGGUAUACUGAAUACACGGCUUGUUUCAUACCAACACCUGAGGAACCCAGCUUUACAGUAAACCUAUACAGUAUUACCACUGUGCGACAUCCAGUGAGUAAUUGUGCAUUUCCACGUGCAUAAAAAUGUUUUUCUGCAGCAUGUGUGAUGAAACGAGAAACUCUGCAGCUGAGGCCACUGGUAUACUGAAUACACGUUGGAUCCAAACUCUUCAACCCAUAGAAAGUGGCAGUGCUGAUCGUGCUGGCCCUUUGACUUCAUUCUCCAAUAUGCAGUUACUGCAGCUUGAGCUCCACAUCUCUUUGAAGGCCGAGGACAAUCAGACCACCAUCUACGAAUAGAUCUGCAAUUGAGAGGGUCAUCGUAUCUAGAAUAUCUGCCAGCUACUCAGGAUUAUACAGAAGCAUGAUGCAUUCAGAUGCAUUCAGAAUGUAAAGGUUUGCCUAGUUUUUCUGAAUUACCAAGAUUAUCUUUCAUUCAGAAAAAUAAUAGCAGAAUCUUUGAAAAUUUAUCUCAUAAUUCUGAGAUAAAGUCCAUUUUUUAGAGACGGUUCCCGUCCUAUCUAGCUCAGUUUUGACAGUUUAAUGUUCAACCAACAAUGGCUAAGCAGAAUUUUCAAUCAUAAGAUUUAAGUCUAAAACCAGGUAAAGGACCUUUAAAGUUUAAUUUUCCCCCCAAGGCAUGACAGGAGAACAGGAGACUGCAAGAAAUGAAAAAAUA